rnacentral:rRNA from 1 species
GACGAACGCUGGCGGCGUGCUUAACACAUGCAAGUCGAGCGAGGCCCCACCCUCGGGUGGGUGUCCUAGCGGCGAACGGGUGAAUAACACGUGGGCAACCUGCCCUCAGCACUGGGAUAACCCCGGGAAACCGGGGCGUAAUACCGGAUACGACCACAGGCGGCAUCUUCUUGUGGUGGAAAGAUUUAUCGGCUGAGGAUGGGCCCGCGGCCUAUCAGCUUGUUGGUGGGGUAACUGCCUACCAAGGCAACGACGGGUAGCCGGCCUGAGAGGGCG